GUGCUUGCUUUGGCAGCACACGUACUAAAAUUGGAACAAUACGGAUUCGCACGGCCCCUUUGCAAGGAUGACAUGCAAAUUCGUGAAGUGUCCCAUAGUUUA
rnacentral:snRNA from 1 species